rnacentral:tRNA from 1 species
GCCCCGGUAGCUCAGCUCCGGUGGAGCGUCGGCCUUGUAAGGUCGAGUGUUUGGGGGCUUCGAGAUAGCCGAAGGUCCCGGGUUCAAAUCCCGGCCGGGGCU